rnacentral:rRNA from 1 species
UCAGUCCUACGGGGGGCAGCAGUGGGGAAUAUUGCGCAAUGGACGAAAGUCUGACGCAGCGACGCCGCGUGAGGGAUGAAGGUUUUCGGAUCGUAACCCUCUGUCAGGAGGGAAGAAAGCGCAUGGCGCCAAUCAGCCAUGCGUUGACGGUACCUCCAAAGGAAGCGCCGGCUAACUCCGUGCCAGCAGCCGCGGUAAUACGUAGGUGGCGAGCGUUAUCCGGAAUGAUUGGGCAUAAAGGGUGCGUAGGCGGCCUGCUAAGUCUGGAGUGAAAGGUACCGGCUCAACCGGUACAGGCUCUGGAA